GGAAUCUGACUCUUAACUGUCCUACCUUUCUUCUUCUCUAAUCGUGAUCUCUGUCUCUCAGUAGGUAACCAGCUACCAGCCAUGGGCCAUCAAAGCAGAGUCAUCACAGAGGAUUACAAGGUUCCAGACAGAAUGGUGGGCUUCAUUAUUGGUCGAGGAGGAGAACAGAUCACACGGAUCCAGCUGGAAUCGGGGUGUAAGAUCCAGAUAGCAGCCGACAGCGGCGGUCUGAUGGAGCGGCCGUGUUCGCUGACUGGAACUCCAGAGAGCAUCGAGUGAGUUCCCGUUCUCUGUGCUGCAUGUCUGCUAUUCUCUGGAAGUUGGUACAUCUGGACCCAAACUAACCCAGAUUUUUAGAUGAAGGACAUCAGAC